CGGCGGGGUGGGACGACCGCGAUCCUCCCGGCCUUCCCGGGUCCGGCCCCGGGUCCGGCCCCGGAUUCGGGUCCGGGUUCGGGUUCGGGUUCGGCUGG
rnacentral:tRNA from 1 species